rnacentral:rRNA from 1 species
AUACGGAGGGGGUUAUCGUUGUUCGGAAUUAAUGGGCGUAAAGCGCACGUAGGCGGAUUGGAAAGUUGAGGGAGAAAUCCCAGGGCUCAACCCUGGAACUGCCUCCAAAACUAACAGUCUAGAGGUCGAGAGAGGUGAGUGGAAUUCCAAGUGUAGAGGUGAAAUUCGUAGCUAUUUGGAGGAACACCAGUGGCGAAGGCGGCUCACUGGCUCGAUACUGACGCUGAGGUGCGAAAGCGUGGGGAGCAAACAGGAUUAGAAACCCGGGUAGUCC